rnacentral:rRNA from 1 species
CAGCCUUUGACAUGUCCUGGACCGGAYUCAGAGAUGCGAUCUUCUCUUCGGAGCGUGGACACAGGUGCUGCAUGGCUGUCGUCAGCUCGUGUCGUGAGAUGUUGGGUUAAGUCCCGCAACGAGCGCAACCCUUGCCCUUAGUUGCCACCAUUUAGUUGGGCACUCUAAGGGGACUGCCGGUGAUAAGCCGGAGGAAGGUGGGGAUGACGUCAAGUCCUCAUGGCCCUUACRGGCUGGGCUACACACGUGCUACAAUGGUCGUGACAAUGGGAAGCGAAGGGGCGANUCCUAGCAAAUCUCGAAAAAGCCGUCUCAGUUCGGAUUGCACUCUGCAACUCGACUCCAUGAAGUCGGAAUCGCUAGUAAUCGUGGAUCAGCAUGCUGCGGUGAAUACGUUCCC